rnacentral:rRNA from 1 species
UACGUAGGAUGCGAGCGUUGUCCGGAUUUACUGGGCGUAAAGAGCUCGUAGGCGGGGGCGCGCGUCUCGGAGGAAAUUCCAGGGCUCAACCCUGGAGCUUUCCGAGAUACGGCGUCUCUUGAGGGCAGGAGAGGAGAACAGAAUUCCCGGUGUAGCGGUGAAAUGCGUAGAUAUCGGGAGGAAUACCAGUGGCGAAGGCGGUUCUCUGGUCUGUCUCUGACGCUGAGGAGCGAAAGCGUGGGUAGCGAACGGGAUUAGAUACCCCGGUAGUCCACGCCGUAAACGAUGGGCACUAGGUGUAGGAGGUAUCGACCCCUUCUGUGCCGCAGCUAACGCAUUAAGUGUCCCGCCUGGGGAGUACGGCCGCAAGGUUGAA